rnacentral:rRNA from 1 species
CCCUUAGACGUUCUGGGCCGCACGCGCGCUACACUGACCAGUGCAACAAGCAUCCGUCCUUGGCCGACAGGCCCGGGCAAUCUUUGAACGCUGGUCGUGAUGGGGAUAGACUUUUGCAAUUUUUGGUCUUCAACGAGGAAUUCCUAGUAAACGCAAGUCAUCAACUUGCAUUGAUUACGUCCCUGCCCUUUGUACACACCGCCCGUCGCACCUACCGAUUGAAUGGUCCGGUGAAGCCUCCGGAUUGUGACUGUUGCCUUCAUUGGUGUCGGUUGCGAGAACUUGUCUAAACCUUAUCAUCUAGAGGAAGGUGAAGUCGUAACA